rfam:Drosophila willistoni strain TSC#14030-0811.24 scf2_1100000004949 genomic scaffold, whole genome shotgun sequence.
UAUCCUUAUAAAUCUAGCCUCUACUAGGCUUUGUCUGUGCAUUUGGAUUCAGACAUAGCCUAUGAGAGGUUAGGUGUACCAAGGAGA